rnacentral:tRNA from 1 species
GUCCCCUUAGUUUAAUGGAUAAAACUACUGUUUCCUAAAUAGUCGAUCUGGGUUCGAUUCCCAGAGGGGGCACCA